rnacentral:lncRNA from 1 species
GCGGGGCCUUGCGUCUUGACGGCUGCUCCCCUCCUUUCCUCCCGCCACAAGCGCUCGCUGUGGUUCUGGCAGCGAAGUGCGAGACUGGGCUCGCCAGGCGGAAGUGGUUGGAGACUGCGUGUUUUCCUAGAAAGUCCUCGACCUUCGUCGGGGAGAGGAGGGGAGUGAUAAAUUGGAAGGCGGACAAGCGACAAGUGCGGUACUGGAAAGACCCAAACAUACUUGGUUGUGACCUCAGGUCACAUCUCCCAAGAAGCAGUAAUGUUCCAGCAAUAAGAAAAGGACAGUUUUUUGUCUUUUGCAUGGUGAGCCUUAUAUGAAUUACAUCAAUUUUGUCACCAAUAUCCAUCAUCAGAACAUUUUGGGGAAAAUGCCUAGAGGAGACAUCUUUAUUAAGGCCUUCAGAUGACACUUACCGUCAGUCAAUCGACCCACCUAUAAUGGCUGAAAUAUCAAAAAUCUGAAGGUGUUCUGAGCACAAGACACUUCUCCUCCACACCACCCCCACCCAUCAGCCAGCCAGCUGACUCUGAGGAUGAGGAGGAGGAGGAAGCAGCUGCUACAUCUUCGGGCUUUGCAGACACUGGAGGGACUGCCCUUGCAGGGCUGGAUAACUCCUACAUACAGCAAACAACCUGCUGUCAGCCACCUCUCACACAAAACCAAGUGGGCUAGAGCCCACACCCAGCACACCUUCUUCAUCAGGCCCUUACGCUUCUCGCCAUGAUUCCCCUGCCCUGGUCACCCUAGGGCUAGGUACAAGACAAUUAGGGACAGCCCCUACCUCCUAGCGCCGUCUGUAAUGAUUCAGACUAGCUACUUAUCCUAAUCCUGCUCAUCCUGCUGCACCUUCCUUCCUGUGGAAAACACCAUGGAGGCUCUUGGCAGUGUUUCCCCACAUCCCUCUCCCCUUCACUGACCCUGGCGCUUCCCCAUGUGUCCCCUGUAUGGUGUGGCAUGGGCCCUGUCUCUAGGGAUUUGUGAGUCCAGCACUCCCUCCUUAAUCGUCGUUUUGCUUUCCUCGUUUCAGUUACUUGCGUCAACUGCAGUAAAAGAAUAUUAAGAUAUUUUGAGAGAGAGAAGGGAAGCAAAGAGAGACCACAUUCACAUAACUUUUAUUACAGUAUAUUUUAAUAAUUGUUCUGUAUUAUUAUUAUUGUUGUUAAUCUCUCAUUGUGCCUAAUUUAUAAGUUCAACUUUAUCACAGGUCUGGAUGUAUGGGAGAAAACAGUAUCUAAAAGGUUCGCAGUUUCAGGCAUCCCCAUGAGGCUAAGGGGGGACUACUGUGUAACAAACUUCUUCCUUCAUGACAGUCAUUUCCAGAUCUGUGUGUCUUAUGGUACCUGAUUAAAACAAAUCCCAAAUACCAUUAAAACAGCACUGACUUCAUACUAGGCACUCUAUGCUUUAUGUGGAUUGUGUCAUUCACUUGUGACAAGGGCAAUAUUGGGCAAAUCCUAUCAUUCCCCUGGUUUUAAGGCUGAAAAAACAGAGGCUUAGAGAGGUGUAGUGACUUGCUCAGAGUCCUCGCUGUAGCAUGGGGUAAAGCCAGGAUAUGACUUCACAUAGUUUAACUCCAGAACUUACACUGUCAUCUUGUUUUGUUUUUCUGCUUCUCUUGUGUGUCAAAAGAAUUCCUCCUUAGUUGUUCUCAUAUGGGGCAACCAUUAAAUUAGGCAGUGUAAAAAACAAGUUAUGCAGAAUAAAGUAGCAAGAGCAAUCUACUCUGAAAUUAGUGUUUUCCCUCACUUUAGCACCUUUAGCUGACCCAGCUUCCUACCGCCCAGACAUUUUACAAAAAUCUCUCUCUGGAGUUGCCUCCUGAUCUGGAUUAGGAGUCACAUAAGAAAAUCAGUCUCAUGAGUCCAUCAUUUUUCCUCAUUUCUGACCAGAAGUAUUCUGCCCCAUUUGCUUCACCUUAUUUCUAAAUCACUCUAGCUCAUUUAAACAAACAAACAAACAAACAAACAAACAAUGAAACUUACUGCAAGGGCACAGAAUAACUAUCAUUAAAGAUGUCUGUGUAAUUAUGCCAUAAGUUGCAAGGCAAACUCAUGAAGCAUUCCGUAUGUUCUUUGAGCAGUGGCACUGUGGCUCGAACCAAUGUCCAGCUUCCACACUAUCUGCUUGGAAGAGGAUUACCCUUAUUUGGAAGUCUCAGUUUUGAGGAUUUGGGGAAAGCAGGCACGCAAGCAGACACACCUUAUUCUCUACAGCAUCAUUUAUACCUCAACUAAGUCAGCUGAACAAAUGCCUGCUGAAAAGUUCUGGGAGUGGCAUAGCUAAGAACCAGAAAGGCGAUCUUUCUUUUGGAUUAAGUCAACAGAGUCAUACCCACAAGGAGAACUAUCAAAUAUCAGAUGCGAGAGGUGAAGUGGGGUUAUAAGGUGAGAGCUGAGAAGGGAGAAACAGGGUGAGUAAACCUCCAUGACUCAGACGAAUACUGAACUUUGCAUUUCAGGAAGAAUGAGGGUUUGGGUUGCUUCUUUUUCUUUUUAAAAACCUCUUCUUUUCAGUAUUCCUUGGGGGGCGGGGUUCUCAGAGGAUUAAGGGUUUGGAAAAUUAAACAGAUAAGAUACUAAGAGUUAAAUAACACAUAAGAGGAAGAAGGAUUAGAAAGAGGAAGAAGAAAAGUAGAAAGUGUGGUAGGUACCUUCCUACCUCAAGGUAGAAGUAGUGUGUUUCUAAGUACAGAGAUAGAUUUUGUCUGAUUGGGGAGAAAUCCUGCAAAAGGAUUAGGAAGUGAGUGAGCUGAGAGAUGAAUUCCAGGGAUUGGAGGUCAUACAGAGAGCAGGGGAAGCACAAAACUAGGGCAUGGAGUUUUGGGUGGAACUGAGGAGGCGUAAAAAAAAAGUGCUGAAGUUGUGAGCUGGGAAAGGUAUCAAGUACAUAAUUUGGCAAUUUUGUUAUUUCUAAAAGAUAAGCUAACAAAUUACUUGGCUGUCAUAAAAGUUCACUUUUUAUGGAUGUUAAAAUACAUGGAGAUGUUCAUUUACAAACAUGGUGAGCUUGAGCCAGAGAGCCACCAUGAUACAUUUCAGGUAGUAUACGUUUAGUGUGACUGUGGCGCACUACCACCACCUAG